rnacentral:rRNA from 1 species
AAAUUGAAGAGUUUGAUCAUGGCUCAGAUUGAACGCUGGCGGCAGGCCUAACACAUGCAAGUCGAACGGUAACAGGAAGCAGCUUGCUGUUUUGCUGACGAGUGGCGGACGGGUGAGUAAUGUCUGGGAAACUGCCUGAUGGAGGGGGAUAACUACUGGAAACGGUAGCUAAUACCGCAUAACGUCGCAAGACCAAAGAGGGGGACCUUCGGGCCUCUUGCCAUCGGAUGUGCCCAGAUGGGAUUAGCUAGUAGGUGGGGUAACGGCUCACCUAGGCGACGAUCCCUAGCUGGUCUGAGAGGAUGACCAGCCACACUGGAACUGAGACACGGUCCAGACUCCUACGGGAGGCAGCAGUGGGGAAUAUUGCACAAUGGGCGCAAGCCUGAUGCAGCCAUGCCGCGUGUAUGAAGAAGGCCUUCGGGUUGUAAAGUACUUUCAGCGGGGAGGAAGGGAGUAAAGUUAAUACCUUUGCUCAUUGACGUUACCCGCAGAAGAAGCACCGGCUAACUCCGUGCCAGCAGCCGCGGUAAUACGGAGGGUGCAAGCGUUAAUCGGAAUUACUGGGCGUAAAGCGCACGCAGGCGGUUUGUUAAGUCAGAUGUGAAAUCCCCGGGCUCAACCUGGGAACUGCAUCUGAUACUGGCAAGCUUGAGUCUCGUAGAGGGGGGUAGAAUUCCAGGUGUAGCGGUGAAAUGCGUAGAGAUCUGGAGGAAUACCGGUGGCGAAGGCGGCCCCCUGGACGAAGACUGACGCUCAGGUGCGAAAGCGUGGGGAGCAAACAGGAUUAGAUACCCUGGUAGUCCACGCCGUAAACGAUGUCGACUUGGAGGUUGUGCCCUUGAGGCGUGGCUUCCGGAGCUAACGCGUUAAGUCGACCGCCUGGGGAGUACGGCCGCAAGGUUAAAACUCAAAUGAAUUGACGGGGGCCCGCACAAGCGGUGGAGCAUGUGGUUUAAUUCGAUGCAACGCGAAGAACCUUACCUGGUCUUGACAUCCACGGAAGUUUUCAGAGAUGAGAAUGUGCCUUCGGGAACCGUGAGACAGGUGCUGCAUGGCUGUCGUCAGCUCGUGUUGUGAAAUGUUGGGUUAAGUCCCGCAACGAGCGCAACCCUUAUCCUUUGUUGCCAGCGGUCCGGCCGGGAACUCAAAGGAGACUGCCAGUGAUAAACUGGAGGAAGGUGGGGAUGACGUCAAGUCAUCAUGGCCCUUACGACCAGGGCUACACACGUGCUACAAUGGCGCAUACAAAGAGAAGCGACCUCGCGAGAGCAAGCGGACCUCAUAAAGUGCGUCGUAGUCCGGAUUGGAGUCUGCAACUCGACUCCAUGAAGUCGGAAUCGCUAGUAAUCGUGGAUCAGAAUGCCACGGUGAAUACGUUCCCGGGCCUUGUACACACCGCCCGUCACACCAUGGGAGUGGGUUGCAAAAGAAGUAGGUAGCUUAACCUUCGGGAGGGCGCUUACCACUUUGUGAUUCAUGACUGGGGUGAAGUCGUAACAAGGUAACCGUAGGGGAACCUGCGGUUGGAUCACCUCCUUACCUUAAAGAAGC